GGCCCCGUGGCGAAAUGGCAGACGCGGUGGAUUUAAAAUCCGCGGCCCCUCGCGGGCGUGCCGGUUCGAGUCCGGCCGGGGCUACCU
rnacentral:tRNA from 2 species